rnacentral:rRNA from 1 species
UGCCUGGCGGCUAUAGCGCCGUGGAACGACCUGAUCCCAUGCCGAACUCAGAAGUGAAACGCGGUAGCGCCGAUGGUAGUGUGGCAUUCGCCAUGCGAGAGUAGGACACUGCCAGGCA